UACGUAGGGGGCAAGCGUUGUCCGGAAUCAUUGGGCGUAAAGCGCGUGUAGGCGGUCCGAUAAGUCGGUUGUGAAAGUCCAGGGCUCAACCCUGGGAUGCCGACCGAUACUGUCGGACUAGAGUUCGGAAGAGGCGAGUGGAAUUCCCGGUGUGAGCGGUGAAAUGCGCAGAUAUCGGGAGGAACACCAAUGGCGAAGGCAGCUCGCUGGGCAUUAACUGACGCUGAGGAGCGAAAGCAUGGGGAGCGAACAGG
rnacentral:rRNA from 1 species